rnacentral:lncRNA from 1 species
AGGGAUGUUGUAUUUCAUGAGACUUCAUUUCCAUUUAAAACUGCCUCUAACCCUUCCAUCUCUUCCUCUUCCUUUCCUUUUGUUUCUUCUCCUGAGCAGUCCUUUUCUGACACUGACCUGUCUGUUCCUAUUUCUGCCUUUCCUUCUUCUCCUUCUGCUACUCCUCCUUCCUCUUCCAGUCCUGUUACUUCCUUUGUUCCUCCA